AGAGUUUGAUCCUGGCUCAGGAUAAACGCUGGCGGCGUGCCUAACACAUGCAAGUCGAACGUCCUCUUCUCGCAAGGGGAGAGGGAGUGGCGGACGGGUGAGUAACACGUGGAUCAUCUACCUCAAGGUGAGGAAUACCGGCGAGAAAUCGCCGACAAGACCGCAUAGGCUCUGCGAAGAGCAAAGCUUCUUUCGGGAGGCGCCUUGGAUGAGUCCGCGGCCGAUUAGCCAGUUGGUGGGGUAAUGGCUCACCAAGGCGACGAUCGGUAGCUGGUCUGAGAGGACGACCAGCCACACUGGGAUUGAGAACGGCCCAGACUCCUACGGGGGGCAGCAGUGAGGGAUUUUCCGCGAUGGGCGCAAGCCUGACGGAGCAACGCCGCGUGCAGGAGGAAGGUCUUCGGAUCGUAAACUGCUUUUACCAGGGACGAGCAAGGACGGUACCCGAGGAACAAGCCCCGGCUAACUACGUGCCAGCAGCCGCGGUAAUACGUAGGGGGCGAGCGUUGUCCGGAGUUACUGGGCGUAAAGGGCCCGCAGGCGGUGUGCCAAGUUCGCACUGACAAUCCUCGGCUUAACCGAGGAGGGCGUGCGAAAACUGGCAGACUUGAGGAAGAGAGAGGGACAGGGAAUUCCGGGUGGAGUGGUGAAAUGCGUAGAUAUCCGGAGGAACCCCAAAGGCGAAGGCACUGUCCUGGCUCUUUCCUGACGCUCAGGGGCGAAAGCUAGGGGAGCGAACGGGAUUAGAUACCCCGGUAGUCC
rnacentral:rRNA from 1 species